rnacentral:lncRNA from 10 species
ACUGACUUUCCACUACAGAAGAUGAAAAUGUAGCUCUCGGUCACUGACACACCCCACCCCUGUAACUCCAACACACACAGUCACACACAUCCUGUACUCACUGACACACCCCACCCCCGUAACUCUAACACACACUCACACGCUCCCUGUACUCACUGACACACCCCAACCCUGUAACCCUAACACACACAGUCACACAUCCUGUACUCACUGACACACUUCACCCCGUAACUCUAACACACUCACACGCUCUCUGUACUGACACACCUCACCCCUGUAACUCUAACACACACACUCUCACACACAUCCUGUACUCACUGACACACUUCACCCUGUAACUCUAACACACACACGCUCCCUGUACUAACUGACACACCCCACCCCUGUAACUCUAACACACACUCACAUGCUCCCUGUACUCACUGACACACCCCACCCCUGUAACUCUAACACACACACUCACACGCUCCCUGUACUCACUGACACACCCCACCCCUGUAACUCUAACACACACUCACAUGCUCCCUGUACCCACUGACACAGCUCACCCCGUAACUCUAACACACACACUCACACCCUGUACUCACUGACACACCCCACCCCGUCACUCUAAAACACACACACUCACACACCCUGUACCCACUGACACACCCCACCCCUGUAACUCUAACACACACUCACAUGCUCCCUGUACCCACUGACACAGCUCACCCCGUAACUCUAACACACACACUCACACCCUGUACUCACUGACACACCCCACCCCGUCACUCUAAAACACACACACUCACACACCCUGUACCCACUGACACACCCCACCCCUGUAACUCUAACACACACUCACAUGCUCCCUGUACCCACUGACACAGCUCACCCUGUAACUCUAACACACACACUCACCCACUGACACAGCUCACCCCUGUAACUCUAACACACACACACGCUCCCUGUACUCACUGACACACCCCACCCCUGUAACUCUAACACACACACUCACACGCUCCCUGUACUGACACACCCCACCCCUGUAACUCUAACACACACACUCACACGCUCCCUGUACCCACUGACACACCUCACCCCUGUAACUCUAACACACACACUCACACGCUCCCUGUACAGUUUUGUUGCUUUUUAAGCUAGAUGGAUAUUCCAUUCUACACUGUCAUAACCAGGUGCUAUGGUUUGAAUGUGUCCGCUAAACUUCACGUUAGAAAGGUAAACCUCCAGUUUGUAUGUUGAUUGGAGGUGGGGCCUUUGCCAAGUAAUUAGGAUUAGGUAGGGUCAGCAGGGUGGGGCCCUGAUGAUGGUACUGGUGGCCUUACAAGGAGAGGAAGACACCUGAGCUGACGGGCUUGCGCGAUGCCCUCUGCCAGGUUAUGACGCAGCAGGAGGCCCUCCCCAGAUGCAGCCCCUCAACCUUGGACUUCCCAGCCUCCAGAACUGUAAGAAAUGCAUUUAUUUUCUUUAUAAAUUACCCAGUUUGUGGUAUUCUGUUACAGCAACAGAAAAUGACACCAGGUAGACGCCAUCCACAGCUGAACCACCAUAUGGACACUUGAAGUCUGCUGGAACCCCCGGAUGUGGGGCCCUCUGACCCCAGAUGAGGGCGUCAGUGAUGCUGCGGUGCUGCACCUGCCCGACCCCUGCACCUGACCCGGGGCCUCUUCUCCAUCCCUCAGCCACAGCCCAGAACGUCUGGACACUGGGCCCAGCGAGCAGCGACCAAACUCAUUUCAAGUCUCUCUUUUUUUCUCUAAAAUCAAUGCUGUUCCAAAGAUAAACCCUCUAACGCAGCCAUGUCUGCCUAGAGAAAUCCUCAAACCAUAUCCUUUCAUAGCUAUGUUCAAAUUCAAUUUGUGAGAAGACUCUUCUUUUCAUAAGCCCAUUGAUGGAGCCAUUUUGUUUCAGUCUUUGCAGUUUUUUUUGUUUUUGUUUUUGUUUUUUACCUUAUCUCCCAUCUGUGUGUUUGCUCUUUCGUUAUUUACCGUUUCUCCUUCUCUGUGUUACCUUACGUUUUGGUCCACGAGAAACUAAGAAACAUUUUUGACAUCAGCAGUGUUAGCGUUAGGAUAAUACAAUUCAAGCUCACUGCACUUAGCUGAUUAACUUACCAUGUACUCUGUCCAUCAAAAUAUAAUAAAGAUAUACAAAGCUUCUAGAACAAAGCCCGUCAGAAUGUUCACUGAGUGAGUCAGAAAACAGGGACAAAAAGAUAAUU